ensembl:lncRNA
AAAUUUUGCAUUUCCUGCGAAAAUACUGUGUGGAUGCCUUAACGCUGAAGAUGUCUGCUGAAAAAAGCUGAAAAAGUUGAAGGAAGAAAAAAAAAAGAAGAAAAGAAAAAGAAAAAAACCAUUGCCCUGAGCAGGAUUCGAACCUGGCCCUUCAGGUCUCAAGGUACAGAGUAACAGGUCACUUCUGUCUGGCUGCAACCAUCCCAGAUCAACAGGACCCAAACACCCUUAUCAGUGAAGUCCUUCAUAAAGACCGCUUUAAUAAUGAGCACAUGGGAGACUUAGUUAAAGGGGGUGAGGUAUAUGUUGGCAGAAGGCUGGUUUUAGCUGUUCCCACAGGACCUGUACAUGCAGAAGGCAAAGUUCUGAAAAGCUUGGACAAACUAAAGAAACAGGGAGAGAACAACUUCCUCCUCAUCUACUCUUACCUCUCCCCAUGUAGCAAGUGCACAGACUAUAACAGUAAAUUCAACAUCCUUAACAUGAUUAAAAAACAGGUUGACAGAUGGCAUAAUGCGGCCUUUGUAUUUACAAAAGUUUUCAACAAGCCCAAAUAUGGUUCCAGAGUACCCAGAUAUGUUUUAAAAAUGUCACUGACUCAGCUUUCUAAUUCGAUGGGUGGUCUCCAGUACAUAUUUCGCUGUAAUGGACCGAGCAAUUCUGAGUUAGUGUGUCACAGCUGCUCUGUAAAUCACAGAGUUUCAGAGUUUUGUAUUAAUAACAACGCUGAGAGAGAGCGCAGCAUCAGCAGGGAAAGAAGCAGGAGCUUCAGUGGAAGCAGAGGAGGGGGCAGUAGCAGGAAGAGAGAGAUGUACAGGAGUCAGAGUGAGAGCAGCAUCAGCAGCGGAAACAGUAGAGAAGCUGGAAAACAUGCAGGUGGAGGCAGGAGCAGCAGGAAGAGAAGCAGGAGCAGCAGCAGCAGCAGCAGCAGCAGCAGCAGCAGCAGUAGCAGCAGCAGCAGCAGCAGCAGCAGCAGCAGUAGUAGCAGCAGAGGUUAGAGGAGUUCAAACAAAGCAACAUGGUCCCUGAAGACAAACUUUCUUUAAAUUUCUGUUCAAACUAAAAUGAUAAAUAAAUGUUUUUUCUGAAAAAGCUUCAAA